rnacentral:rRNA from 1 species
UACGGAGGGUGCAAGCGUUGUCCGGAAUCACUGGGCGUAAAGGGCGCGUAGGCGGCUCAUGAAGGCUGUGGUGAAAGUCCGGGGCUCAACCUCGGAUCGGCCGUGGCGACUCGUGGGCUGGAGCACUGUAGAGGCGGGUGGAAUUCCGGGUGUAGCGGUGGAAUGCGUAGAGAUCCGGAAGAACACCAGUGGCGAAGGCGGCCCGCUGGGCAGUGGCUGACGCUGAGGCGCGACAGCGUGGGGAGCAAACGAGGA